UUUCUACUCCCUCCGUCCGAAAAUACUUGUCAUCAAAAUGGAUAAAAAGAGAUGUAUCUAAAACUAAAAUACGUCUAGAUAUAUUUCCUUUUAUCCAUUUUGAUGACAAGUAUUUCUGGACGGAGGGAGUAUUUG
rnacentral:pre_miRNA from 1 species